UACGUAGGGUGCGAGCGUUGUCCGGAAUUACUGGGCGUAAAGAGCUCGUAGGUGGUUUGUCGCGUUGUUCGUGAAAUCUCACGGCUUAACUGUGAGCGUGCGGGCGAUACGGGCAGACUAGAGUACUGCAGGGGAGACUGGAAUUCCUGGUGUAGCGGUGGAAUGCGCAGAUAUCAGGAGGAACACCGGUGGCGAAGGCGGGUCUCUGGGCAGUAACUGACGCUGAGGAGCGAAAGCGUGGGGAGCGAACAGGAUUAGAUACCCUGGUAGUCCACGCCGUAAACGGUGGGUACUAGGUGUGGGUUUCCUUCCUUGGGAUCCGUGCCGUAGCUAACGCAUUAAGUACCCCGCCUGGGGA
rnacentral:rRNA from 1 species